UACAGAGGUCUCGAGCGUUAGGCGGAAUCACUGGGCUUAAAGCGUGUGUAGGCGGAUCGGUAAGUACCUUGUGAAAUCCCACAGCUUAACUGUGGAACUGCUUGGUAUACUGCCAGUCUUGAGCCAGCUAGGGGCUACCGGAACAAAUGGUGGAGCGGUGAAAUGCGUAGAUAUCAUUUGGAACGCCAAUGGUGAAAACAGGCGACUGGGGAUGUGCUGACGCUGAGACACGAAAGCCAGGGGAGCAAACGGG
rnacentral:rRNA from 1 species